GCUUUCGUGGUGUUGUGGUCAGCACGCUCGACGUGUAUUUCAAGAGGUCCGUGGUUCGAGUCCCGGUGAGGGCA
rnacentral:tRNA from 1 species